rnacentral:rRNA from 1 species
CCUACGGGUGGCUGCAGUGGGGAAUAUUGGACAAUGGGCGAAAGCCUGAUCCAGCCAUGCCGCGUGUGUGAAGAAGGCCUUCGGGUUGUAAAGCACUUUCAGUGGGGAAGAAAGCCUUGGGGCUAAUACCCUCGAGGAAGGACAUCACCCACAGAAGAAGCACCGGCUAACUCCGUGCCAGCAGCCGCGGUAAUACGGAGGGUGCGAGCGUUAAUCGGAAUUACUGGGCGUAAAGCGCGCGUAGGCGGUCUGAUAAGCCGGGUGUGAAAGCCCCGGGCUCAACCUGGGAACGGCAUCCGGAACUGUCAGGCUAGAGUGCAGGAGAGGAAGGUAGAAUUCCCGGUGUAGCGGUGAAAGGCGUAGAGAUCGGGAGGAAUACCAGUGGCGAAGGCGGCCUUCUGGACUGACACUGACGCUGAGGUGCGAAAGCGUGGGUAGCAAACAGGAUUAGAUACCCGUGUAGUC